UACGAAGGGGGCUAGUGUUGUUCGGAAUUACUGGGCGUAAAGCGCACGCAGGCGGCUCGAUAAAUUAGAAGUGAAAGCCCCGGGCUUAACCUGGGAAUUGCUUUUAAGACUGUCGGGCUAGAAUCCAGAAGAGGGUAGUGGAAUUCCGAGUGUAGAGGUGAAAUUCGUAGAUAUUCGGAAGAACACCAGUGGCGAAGGCGACUACCUGGUCUGGCAUUGACGCUCAUGUGCGAAAGCGUGGGGAGCAAACAGG
rnacentral:rRNA from 1 species